rnacentral:tRNA from 1 species
GCCUGGGUGGCUUAGUUGGUUAAGCGUCUGACUUCGGCUCAGGUCACGAUCUCGUGGUUCGUGGGUUCAAGCCCUGCAGUGGGCC